rnacentral:rRNA from 1 species
CCUACGGGGGGCAGCAGUAGGGAAUCUUCCGCAAUGGGCGAAAGCCUGACGGAGCAACGCCGCGUGAGUGAUGAAGGUCUUCGGAUCGUAAAACUCUGUUAUCAGGGAAGAACAAAUGUGUAAGUAACUGUGCACAUCUUGACGGUACCUGAUCAGAAAGCCACGGCUAACUACGUGCCAGCAGCCGCGGUAAUACGUAGGUGGCAAGCGUUAUCCGGAAUUAUUGGGCGUAAAGCGCGCGUAGGCGGUUUUUUAAGUCUGAUGUGAAAGCCCACGGCUCAACCGUGGAGGGUCAUUGGAAACUGGAAAACUUGAGUGCAGAAGAGGAAAGUGGAAUUCCAUGUGUAGCGGUGAAAUGCGCAGAGAUAUGGAGGAACACCAGUGGCGAAGGCGACUUUCUGGUCUGUAACUGACGCUGAUGUGCGAAAGCGUGGGGAUCAAACAGGAUUAGAUACCCCGGUAGUC